rnacentral:rRNA from 1 species
AUGGAGGCGCUCCCUUCGUCGCCGAGGCACCCUCCCAAGUACGGCAGCGCCGCCGUCCAGAAUGCUUUGGAGCAGUUGGCGUCUAUUGAUCUCAUUGAGCUGAGCAAGGAGGCUAGAAUUGAGCACUGCCGUGCAACUAGGGACUUGAGUAGCUGUGGCCGCUAUGUGCAGCAUGUGCUCAACUCAUGUGGGCAUGCCUCGUUAUGUGCCGAGUGUAGCCAGAGAUGUGAUGUCUGCCCAAUUUGCAGAAGUCCAAUACCUGAUAAUGGAAAAAGAGUGCGGCUCCGCCUUUACCACAAGUGCUUGGAGGUCGGCCUUAUCUCUAAGCAGCAUGAUGAAAGGUUUCAGGAAAAGGAAGGCCAUGGUGAUCCUGUGAACAUGGAUGUCCAGCGGCUGCAUUCCUUGUUUGAUGUUGCGCUUCAGAAUAAUCUGGUUUCCCUGAUUUGCCACUAUAUAACAGAUGUUUGUUUGGAUGAGAAUGCUGUCUCAAGUGAUCCACUUCUGGCUUUUCUUUUGGACGAGGUGGUCAUCAAGGACUGGUGCAAGAGGGCUGUUAAGGCACUCAUAUCAGAGAUAGGCAUGAUUUAUAAAUCUGGAUUAGAGACGAUGAAGUCUAAGUUAUCCCAGAUGCAAAAGUUUGCAGUGCAGCUGUCAGGGAUAUCCACUGUUGUUGAAGCUAUGAUCGCAUCUUUCAGAGAGGCAGCUCAUGUUAGUGACCUCCAUCAUCUCAUCGAGAACACAAUGAAGGCAAAGCAGCAUUUGGAAGCCAUGAUAUGGUGCACCAGGCAUGAAUUUCUUGAGAAAAUUUGCUCACGCCAUGCUAGUUUUGCUACUUGGAGUGCUGAUGUGAUUGAAAGGAAAAAGUCUGCAGAAAAACGACAAUGGCCUGAAUUUUCUGGUAAAUCAUCAGGUCACAAUGAAGUCAACCAGGGCAUACUUUUCAUCGAGCAGGCACUACAAAACCUUGGAGGUCAACAAAGUUAUAGGGAUAAUCAGGAAGGAGUGGAAAUCACCUAUUUGCAGAAUGAACAAUCAGCAUCUGAGUUCUCUUGUACAAUUGAUCAGUUUAGUGUCAAUAGUUACCCAUUUAAAAACUUGCGUGAGGCAGUUGAUGUACUGUUUCUUCACGGAGGAUCUGACAUGGUGAUUGCAAAGCAAGCAAUUUUCUUAUACUACGUAUUUGAUCGGCAUUGGACCAGACCAGAUUCAGAAUGGAGGUAUCUGGUGGAUGAUUUUGCUGCUACAUUUGGGAUCUCCUGUAGAACGUUGCUCGAAUGCCUAGUAUUCUGUCUUUUGGACGACCACUCUUCACAGGCUCUGGAGGAGGCAUGCUCUCUUCUUCCUAAGAUUUCUAGCAAGGAAACACAUCCAAAGAUAGCACAAGUUCUUCUAGAACGUCAGAAACCUGACGUGGCACUGGUCGUGUUGAAGUGCACAGGGUGUGAUAGCUUAUCUGCAAACAUUGAGAAAGAUGGACUGUUAUGUCUUAGUGAGGCAGUAACUGCAAUCCGUGUAAGAAUUGAAUAUGGCCAAGUAACAGAAGCAUUUAUGUUCCAUAGGAGCUACUGCUCUAGGAUAAAAGAGCAAAGACCAGCAGAUAUGAUCCACCAUGUUGAAGUGAUGAUGGUCGAGUUUUGUGAGAUCUGCAUUGAACGAAAUAUUGUUGAUAAAAUAAUUGAUCUGCCUUGGGAUUCUGAGGAAGAGAAAUAUCUUCACAAGUCCCUCUUUGAUUCUGCUCGUGAGGCGCCCACAGAGCCAUGUGGUAGUCUGCUUGUUGUUUUCUACCUCCAGCGUUAUCGGUACUUGGAAGCAUAUGAUGUCCAUCGUAGUCUUCAGAACUUUGAGCAAAACACACUGGAAACUGCCAGUGAAGAGGUUGCAUCCAAAAUCAGCACAAUUGCUCGGUGGAGAGAAGGUUUGGUGGCUAAAUGCCUUGAAAUGCUUCCUGAGGUCCAGAGGGAGGAUGUGAGGUCCAUCAGCAGCGGAGACCAAAGUCAAUUUGCCAUCCGAACCAUGCAAACGUCUUCUCCAGUUAAUCCUGUUGUCAAAUCAGCCAGUCCUACUAUUGGAUUGAGCUCGUCCUUCACCCCUGCUCUUCAGAAUAAAUCAAACCCUCUACACUCCAGGAAUAUCCAUGGGCUGACUGAUUCUGGUGCUCUUAUCGGUAGUGUCUGUUCAGAGUUUGGCAGAAAGGUUCCAUCUAUCCUCCAAUGUAGGCCAGUUCCUCCAGCGACACCUGCAUCCAAUAUGAGAUCCACUUCAGGGGGUAUAUUCCCCUCUCUGGGUCAAAAUGGUGAGAAUCCAUAUUUAAAGGGGACAAGAGAACUCAGCUUUAUGAAAGGAGAGCCAGGUUUUAGAGAAGGAACCAAACCUGCUGGUCAUGAUUCAAUUCCUAUGUAUUUCAACUUGGGUGCUGGCGAUACACCUAAGAAAACCCAUGGAACAAGUUUGGUGAGGACUGAGCGUAACAAAAACACUUUCUUUCAAGGAAAAGAUUCUGUCAGAAAGGGAGAGUUUGACUUUGGUGUACGUGCUGAGAAGCCUUUCAUCUUAAGUGGGACUGGGGCUGGUCAAAAUGGCCAAACAAAGGUAUCUGAUAGUGCUGGAUUUCGUCGUGAGAAUCAUAUGGAGAAGACAAAAGUUCUAAUGACACCGAACAUUUUGAGCUUGGGCAAGAAACCCCCAGUUGGUGAAGGAGCAGCCGGCAAAGGCGGGUCAAGGUGGAGGUCCGACGAGUCAAGUGAAGACGAAGACGAGGCAAGAACUGGCGGGUACAUGGAGAGUGGCGCUUCCCUUAUUACCCGAAGGCGACCGAGAUUUUCCAGAAGAUGA